rnacentral:misc_RNA from 1 species
GGUAGGUGCGGGUGCCCAACCAUCGGUGCACUGCGCAGAACGCUACCCCUCCCAUCUUUUGCUAUCUAUCUUGUGCUCACGUAGGCAGAGCGGGACGUGUUGAGCAUCUGCAGAGGCCGUGGCACCUUCCGUUGCUUUUUCGCGUACACAAAGCAAGAACGGUCACGUGAGAGGCUGGGGAAGAGCGCGGGAGGUGCGUCGCAGGGAGCAAGUCACGGCCUCUUCCCCCCCCCUUUUUUUUUCGUUGUGCCUUCUGCUGUCUCUGAGUCGACCCAUACACAUACACAUACACAUACACACACACACACACACAGGUGCACAGACGGCCGCGUUCACCGACGCACGUACAUAUAUCCCCACACACCUAUACAUACAGGCACAUUAUCACAUAGUGGUCAUCCUCGCGACUGCCCCCCUCCUUUCCGCUCUUGCUGUGUCAGCGACGAGCAGGCUUGCUGGCAGGUGACCAUCGGAGAUUCAUAAAGCAUACAUUCGAAUUGCCAUAGAAACCGUUGACCUCAUCUCCGCCCACCCCCUCUCUUCCUCUGCCACGCACGCCUUGCGGGUAGGGGGGAGCAUUUCUUUUUGUUGUUGCUUUUCGCGUCGCUGCUGCUCUUCUCUGUUUCUUCUCGCCUCCUGGUUGUGCGUUGGGCCUCAAAGGCUUUCCUCCCGCUACGCAGCGUCUGCUUCACUGGUCUCUUGCCGCCGGCAGGAUCCCCCCUCCUUGCUCUUCCUCCUCCUUCUGCAGAUCUGGAGGCUCUGUCUGUUCCUCCCUCCCUUUUGGUCUAGCGGUUGUGUUCAAAGCUGAGUGUCUCCCUUGUUGUGUGUCUCCGCUGAGACAUGAACGCGAUUUGCUUGAGCUCCUACAGCGCCGUGUGGUGGCGCCCAGGAAAGGCCGGCUUCAUGGAUGUGGUCGGCGCCAUCUCUCUCACAGAGGUGCCAAAGCAGAAGUCCUCGACUAGGGGCGUGGUUGUAGCUGCCCCGAUCGCGCUGAAGUGCGUCAAGCAACCUGAGCAGGAUCUCGUUGUGUGGCUGGGAUGGAAGGGGUCCAGAAACUUCAAGAAGAGUGGAAAAGGCUUGCACAAAGUCCUCUACGUCUGCACGACCGCCACGCACUCUGGCGUCUUCUUCACUCACCACAGAGGCAAACGGCUGGGAUUUGCGCUCAUCGCGCACGAUUCGCGCAACCCGCAGAAGUUGAGUAGCAAGCCUACCCUCUACAAAAAGGAGCUGUUUCGCUUGAUGGCGGACGUAUUGCACGAUGGAGAGAGCAAAAAGACAACCAAUAAGGAAGGACAGCUAGUGACGGUGCGGCAGGCGGUACUUCGCCAGACCCUCGAGGGGCACGUCCUGGCAGCUGUUUUUGUGAACCAGCGCGGUGAUGUGUACGCGGUGGUCGCGCACUUGGCAAAAAACACGUGGCGCAAGUGGAGGAUGGAAGCCGCAGUCGGCUCCAUGCCGUGCAUCCACGUACCAGAAGGCGGCCGCGAUGUGCGGUUUGUGCACUGCGACAUAGACGCGCCUGUCGAUCACACCUCCGCCGUUGUCGCCCCUUCCCUUCCCUUGGCUCUCUCGACGUUCGAUCGCGUCUCUGCGAGCAGUGCCAACUUGUCGGCGCAGGUGGCGGCCGCCACGCCACCUCUCCUGUGUGUCACAGUCCGUGAGGUCAUUCUGCCUACGCGCGGCUCCGGGGUUGCGGCGGUGCGGGUCUUUCAGAGUCAAUGUGUCGAGCGCGUCAGUGGCGACGUCCGUGUGAUGCCGCAGCCGUGCCUUACCCACGUGGAUGAGGCGACAGCGGUGUACACUGUCGUUGUGCUGGGGGAGCAGUCCAGCUGUUUCCUGCACAUGCGUCACUCUCUGUUCGGGUCGGAGCUGAUGACGAGCUGCGCCACGGUGGCGGGGUUGCAUCGACCAAUAAGCGCAUGCACGCUCUUGAUUCCGAACCCGCACCGACCUCGAGGUGCCCGGGUCUCGCUGGUGUUGUGCGACGACAUGAGGGUGUACUGCUGUGAGCACUUCGGGCAGGUAGUGUCGGUGUCGCUCAGCAUCGACGGCGUGGACUGCUCCAUGUUGACGCUCCCCGUGCCACUGGUGAAAAAGUCGUCCAAGAAAAUGAAGACAGCGAUAACACUGCCAGCGCGGCUCAUACCUGUGAACAACGAAACAGAGGUUCUCUGCACGAACGGAACUGUCGGGCUCUUCUUGCGCGUGACAUCCGCUGCUUUUAGUGAGGCGGUGCCGGCACCACCCGACCUGGCGGUGGAGGGCACCGGCGAGACAGCUGGCUGCGGCAUGGUGGGAGAAGCUGAAGUUGGAGCUGCCGCACUGCGUCUGUGUUUGCAGUCGUUGCAGCAGCUCUCUGUGCGCGCUAACCGCCACGACCUACCAGAUGUGGUCUUUCGCCAUAUCCUGCCACACCUGCGCUACGUGGGUACCUCGCAACAGGAGGUGAUGCUGAUCCAGCGCGUGUACGAGCAGCUGCUGCAGAUGGCCGAGCCGAUCCUGGAGCCGGAGUGGAGCUAUCUCUGGGCGCUCACUUCCCUUCUUCAAAAAGCCCUCGGGAAGCGUGGUAGAGACAACCAACUGCGGUACACCGACGCGUUCUUUCUGCAGCUGGCCGACACGUACCGGCAGGGCAGCUUUGCCUCUCCCAGCGAGGCGGCGCUCGUGGGUGAUGGUGUCCGAGCUAUGGUGUCGACGGAGGCACAAGACGUGAUCGCCGCAUCGACGGUGAUCUUUCCCGCAGAGGCGAUCUACGUCCUCGAUGGGUUGGCGGCAGGCGUGGCGCCGGUGACCUUAGCCGAGGAGGUUGUGCGGCGCAUGGUGAACACCGACACCCUCUCGAACGGUGCCGGCGUUGUGGCUUCUCAGGCCGGCGUGGCAGACUGCGUGCACUGCAUGGGAUGCGUGCUCUUGGCGAGCUGUCUAGACCUCACUGUGUUUGUAAUCGCUGACGAGGCACGCGGGCUGCGUGUGUCUCUUCAACGACCGCAGGAUGGCGUGUGUGUCGCGGUCCAGCCGCACACUUUCGCGACCCAGAAGGGGUUCGAAACAGCGCUGGGCUUGGCAGGCGAUCUCCUCUCUGUCUCCUCCGCUGACGCGUCAUUUCGGCCAGAUGUAGCACUUCUCACGCUCGGUAUUGGGGGGCGGCAGCAUUGCCUGAACGCCUUCCUGCAGCUGUUUUCUCCCGUGCUGCGCCACGCUGUGGAUGCUUUGACGCCGCUUUCCAGCAAUCGAACUUGGUUCGAGGGGUGCGUCGCCACGCUGACGCAGCCGACCACCGAAUGGGUUGCUAGUCUGCUGCGCAAGGGCGGCAGCGACAGCUUCACCCUCACAGCGACUCUCUGCCACAUGUUGUGUGCAGCGCAGCGCGGCGUGGAUGCCGCCUUUUUUCGGAGUCUCUCGCGCACCCUCUCCGAGGAGUUUUGCACCACCGCGCUGGUAACCAUCCUCUUCCACCAGACAGAGCUGCUUCUGGCCGCUAUCCAGAAUUACGCCUCGGCAGUGGCGGCCUGCGUCUUGACGAAGAAUAGUGAAGCCGAAAGGGGCGCCAACUGGCAGGCGACGGACGUGGGCCGGACUCGUCUGCAAGCGGCGCUGGCGCAGACAUCUGCCUUGUGGGCCCAGAUCGACUCCCUGUCUCCUUACCGUGUGCGUGAUGUGGCCGAGAGCUACCGCAUCUCCGCCAGCAUGUCAUUGGCGUCUGCCGCUAGUGCGGCGUCUGCUUCGACAGAGGGGACGAUGGUAUCACGCACGCUCGUGCUGUGCUUCCGCAUUUUGUGCCUCGUGCAGUACUCGAUGGCGGCCGAGGAAGAUACAAGCGUGGCAGCAAGCGCUGAAUCGGCUAGUUGGACGGCGAGCGAUGCCGCUGUGAGGGACUGCCAGGGUGUGCUAGAGACUCUCUACCUGAUAGCGGGCGGCCCGUUGCCGCUCGAGUGGUUCCAGUGGAAGUUUAUGUCAUUUGUGAAGCGUGCAGCUGCCAUCAAGCCAACUUGGGCGCCGUAUCUAGUGCGCCUGAUGCAGCUGUCAAAUGUGCACCAAAGCAGCAGCGCGGCGCUUAAGCGCGACUUCUACAUCCUACUGGACACCCUGCAGAGCCGUGGCGCGUCUUCCACGACGACAGUGGAAGAGGGGGAUAUGCAGAGGGCUGCCGCAGCGGCGGAGUCUGCAGUUGGCGCUCUCGCAGCCCAGGUAGAGCACCGCGGUGCAUCGGCCGCAACGGAAGGCCUUAGCCUGGCGCCAUCGACGAGUACAGCUUUCUUCAUCUUUUCCCACCAGCGCGACGCGUCGAUCCCCAGCUGGAGUCGUUUGCAUUCGCUGCCAGAGCGACGUCACCUUUUUUCUGCCACCUGGGCCGACGCACUGUGGACGCUGGAGCGUAUACCCAGUGCUCUUGAUCGUGCUUGUGCGGCAGCCCUAGCUCGAGUCCAGCUUGCGGCAUCUGAGGUGGCGACGACGGGACAGGGUGGGGACCAGCCGCCAGCGCUGUCCGAGGAGCUCGCGCUUCCCCUCUAUGCACAUCUCUACCGAUUGCGCCCUCCUGUGCGGAUGCACGCAGUGAUAGACGCGACACCGGCGGAAAGCGACGGCGCGUGUCUCGGUGUGCAGCAGCGCGUGGAUCGUGCCCAGCAGCAUGAGGAGGCCCCGUGCGAAGCCACCGCGAUCCCCGAAAAUGUUGCCGCAAAACCACAUCAGGAGGAUGCACAAGUGGCUGUUGCACCCGCUGUGGGCGCAGCGACAUCUGCACCGCUCCCCUCUUUAAGCGCCGAGCCCGGGGCUGCGGUGUGCACCGACACAAGUGAGGCGAUGCCAACGGAGCAAGCCAGCAGCGUCGCCAACGCGGGUACUCCUGCUGCUCCUGCUGCUGCUUCUGCUUCGGUGGCGGCGACGCCGGCUCCGGCGGCUCCGGCGCGGAGUGGUCUGUACUCACCAGCCAGCGUGGCGUGGUGGGACACGCUAGAGACGACACCAAGUCGUCCUCGCGCGUUGGACGUGAAGAUGGAGUGUGCCACCGCGAACUCCACGUCUCCCGCCACCGCCGACGACAACGGCGAGAGCUCCGACUCGGCCACGACGUACACCACAUCGACCAGCAACUAUGUCGACCCGGUCUCCACGCUCGAAUCAUUUCACCGCCGUUGCUACACAAGAGGCGACAGCCACGCGGCAGCGGAGAGUGUCGGUAGCAGCUGGAGUGACUCGGAGUUGCACCUCUGCAAGCACCGGUAUGCCGCUGCCCGCUCGCAAGCGCAACACAGAGCAAGAAAGAGAUGCCGCUGCUGCAGCCGACCGAUGCGCGUUGACUACCGCGGCCGCUCGGCCGGGAGGCGAGGCGAGGCUGCCGGCGAUACCACGCCAGUACGCGUGCAGUGGAGCGGGACAGCGAAGAAAACAACUGCACCGUAUGCGCGGUCGCCGCUGGUCACCGCGAAAGGGCCGACAGCCGCUGUGGCGCGGCCAACUCUACUGAGCUUUUCGGCUCGCCUGCAGCCCCCAGAGGAACCACCGACGCUCCGCGCGCAGUCCGCGCGAACUUCACUGGCGGCGCCGGCGCUCAAGGUGACCCCGUUCUCCCUGUUGACCUUUCCCUUCGCGUCAAAGGGACAGCAGGCGUCGCGAGUACGGCUGUACACAUUAGACGGCGACCGCGUCCGCUACGUUGAUGGACAGGACACGGUGCCACUGUUGACCACCAGUCGCCCCGGCGUCGUCGCCAGCGCGGGCGCCUUGCUGAAUGUGCCGCCACUGCCUGCGACGAGUGUGUUUCCAGCUCCUCAACCGCUCGUGCGUCUCCCCUCGCAGCCUGCGGCAGCGCAGCUCGAGCAUCGUGACACACGAGUUUCAUGUGCAGCAGAGGCGGCGCAGCCGGUGCGGUUUGUCGAGGUGGGGCAUGCAUAUCCGCAAGUGCCGCGCCCACCCGCCGGCGUUGCUCCACCAGCAGUGGAUGCUGCCACCUUGCAGGCUACCGCCACGAGCGCACCCGUGCCCGUUCGAGCCGCUGAAGCGAUCGCCUUUCCCUCUGUCGGUGUUGCGACACCAGCCGCUACCACAUCUGCACCCCCCGCUCCGGCCACCGUGCCUCCACUGCCGGCGCCAACGGCUCUUUCUAUAAGCGCCCCCAGCGUGCUGAGCCCUGCGCAAAUGAGCGACUUCCGCCGCUACACUGACAACCUGUUGGCUCGGCAGACUGGAAGCACACGUUUACACGCCAUGACGGCUGCUUCUGUUCCGUCUGCAGCACCACCGACGGCGGACCGCCCCUCCACGGUCCCCGCAGCGGCAGUUGCUGUCGACACGGCUGGGAUAGCGCGGCUGAUCCAGCAGCAAGAAGAGUUCCUCCGGAAAGCUGAAGCUAUUAUGGAGAAAUGCAGGGCUGAAAAAGAUGGCUUCUAUCGACGGGUCGAGGAGAGCAUCCGCAGCGCCACAGCGGCUUUCCAGCAGCACCAGGGACUGAGCCCGGUGGAGCAGGCGCAGCUCGUGCAGAACUCCAUCAAACAACGCAAUGAGCUUCUCACCCUCAACCACCACCUCCUGGAGUUGCAGCUGGCCGCCGCUCGUGCCGGUGGCGAGGCGCCGCCAGCGCCCGCCGCGGCUUCCGCAACCUCUCAAGCGGCGCCGUCAGGCGUGACUGCCACCGGUGCGACCCAGACGCAGCCGCAACUGAGGGAGAGCGCUGGCGUGCCAUGGGCGGCGACGGGCGGCUCGGCUGCAUCCACGGCUGCAGCCGCGGCUUUCCAGCAGCACCAGGGACUGAGCCCGGUGGAGCAGGCGCAGCUCGUGCAGAACUCCAUCAAACAACGCAAUGAGCUUCUCACCCUCAACCACCACCUCCUGGAGUUGCAGCUGGCCGCCGCUCGUGCCGGUGGCGAGGCGCCGCCAGCGCCCGCCGCGGCUUCCGCAACCUCUCAAGCGGCGCCGUCAGGCGUGACUGCCACCGGUGCGGCCCAGACGCAGCCGCAACUGAGGGAGAGCGCUGGCGUGCCAUGGGCGGCGACGGGCGGCUCGGCUGCAUCCACGGCUGCAGCCGCCGCUCCUGUGCUACCACCCGCUAUCUCGGCGCGCGGGCGCGAAGGAAUGAACGAGAUUUUGUCCGACCUACAGCGACUCAACGCGGAGCUCACGGCAAGCAGCGCGUCGGCCGAAGCCAUGGACAGGGCCGUCAAAGAGACGCGUGAAGUCAUCGAGCGAUACGAGCGGAACAAGACAGCCGAGGCACUGACGGCGGAGGGGAUCGCCCUGAUAUCAGCGAUGCGCCAUCGCACUGCUGCAAUCGAGCGACACCUGGCGGAACUGCCGCAGAGGGUCGAGGAAAAGGGCGCCACUGACGCAAAGAGCUCCUCGAGUGUGUGGGUGUCGCAGUUUUCCGUGGCCGAUACAGUCGAGGGCUCACCGGCAGAAGCUCCACCUGCCGCGCCGCUCGCAGCAUUCACAUCGAGGACGACCGCGGUUCCGCCAUCCUCGUUGCACUUCACCGCGCAGGCCGGGACGUCAGCGGGGUCGGCAAUGGAGGCGCUGCUCUCACGGAACUUGAACCAGCACUUGCCGUCGAGCAACCCACUCGGAGUGGUGACGCUCUCUAGCUCCAUGCCUCAGACAGCGAAACCGCCGCAGCCGGAGCGGGCGCCAGCGCCCACAGCUUCAGUGCUCACUGCGCCGGUCGUCUCAUACGCAACACCGCGCGCCUCCUCCAUGUUCACCUCAGUUUCCUCUGUCCCCAUCGAUGAGCCGACAGUGCUUCGCUCCGCGACGCCGAAGGGGGCGUUUCCGCCCAGUGCAAGUUUUCAUGCUGAGCGGGCUGCCGGAGGUGAGGUGCCGAGCCUGCACGUCUGUGAAACAGUGGAGUGCACCACCCUUGACCCGCCACGAGCCAUGCCUUCCAGCGUGAAUGCACCGCGAGUGGCCACUCAGCUGCGUGAUCUGGGCAGUUUGUUCGUGGAGACUGGUGGCCGGUACGAGACCCGGCGCAACGCGAGCGCUGCGCCGUCACACAGGAGAGCAGCAGCUUCUCCUCUGCGCAGUGUGCCGGUGCGCUCGCCGGCGCGCAAGCCUCACGCUGCGGAGCGACGCUUUUCAUCGCCGGCACAGGCGCCGGGACGCUGUCAUCACAAGCAUGAGGAGCGCUAUGCCAUGUACCGAGCGACUUCGAGGCCAGCGAAGGUGCGUCCAGCAGCCACAGCCACGCCUUACGUUCCUGCCCCGGGCGCGCCUUUUACGCCGGCCCCACGUGUGUCGACCGGUAAUGUCUUCGUGGAUCGACAGCAGAGCAGACUCAUGGCUAGUAUUGCUAAGCGUAUGCAGCAGCUAGAGCAGGAUCUCUUCAUGUAAGGACGCACAUAUCGGUGUGACUCGAGCUGCAGUGCUCGUGAGAGAGGAAGUGGACAGGGAAGGGAAGCAAAACGGUGACUGACAUCAUGACUGCCUAUGCUCUUGAUGAUAGCGUCGCUCUUUUCGGGUCGUCUGGAAGCCUGAGCUCUCCUCCCCCCUCAUCCUAUCCCUUGAACGCUCGCAAUGACAGUCGCACAUGAAUGUGCUUGGCCAGUCUCCUCCAUCUCUUCCUUGCCACUUCCCCGGCUGUGCGCUGCCCACCACGCGUGUAAAGCGGGGCGGGGGUAGAGGAGCGACUUUGGCGCGGAAGUGCGACGUGCUUGAGCGUGUGUGAAAGAGCCGUUAUCUCCGCUUUUGGCGAACCGAAAAUGGCCUGACAUCCGUGGCGAACGCCGAAGCCGACGACCUCUCCUUUGGUUCUUCUUUUUCAACGUGCCCCGCUCCGCUUUAGAACAUGAGCGAGGCUCGACGCUACGCCACCCGCACGCCGACCCACCGCGUGGUGGCAAGCAACUUUGCACACGUGGUGCAGCCGUGCGCCGAUGGCUGAGUCGGCGCACGGCCUCUGCCUCGAGCUCUCCCCCUCCCUCGUCUCGCAGGUCGUCUCGCAGCCCCCCUCCCUCCCCUCCCCACCAGUAGGCUGCGAGGGCCGAGUGGGACGCGCUCGAGCCACGCCGGCGCUGUGCCUCUUGUAUAAAUUGUGCAAACGCGCCCACCGUGGCAGCCCGCUCCGACGCAGAGCCGUCCAGCGCUUGAGCGCCGACAUGAGGAGCGAUACACCGCUCUGGGCCUGCCUAGGCGGUAGGGGCCCAGCCCUGUCACCACCAGAGGGGUGGCUUGGCAUCGGCAGAGGCCGGGGGACCCUCUUGGCUUCCUCGUCGAGCGGACACUGGGCAAUGUUAUACCACGCUGAGUUGCACUCCUCGUCAUCAGGGUAUAGAAGCAACCGGAAUAAAUAGGAGUGCAAAUUCACGGCACCGCCUCUGCAUGCACGCACGUGACAGUACGUCAGAUAGGGCAGCAGAGCUUCUUUCCCUCCUUUUUAACUAUCGUGCCACCUCUCCGUGGCUAGACUCUUCG